UGGGGAAUAUUGGACAAUGGGCGAAAGCCUGAUCCAGCCAUGCCGCGUGUGUGAAGAAGGUCUUCGGAUUGUAAAGCACUUUAAGUUGGGAGGAAGGGCAGUUACCUAAUACGUAUCUGUUUUGACGUUACCGACAGAAUAAGCACCGGCUAACUCUGUGCCAGCAGCCGCGGUAAUACAGAGGGUGCAAGCGUUAAUCGGAAUUACUGGGCGUAAAGCGCGCGUAGGUGGUUUGUUAAGUUGGAUGUGAAAUCCCCGGGCUCAACCUGGGAACUGCAUCCAAAACUGGCAAGCUAGAGUACGGUAGAGGGUGGUGGAAUUUCCUGUGUAGCGGUGAAAUGCGUAGAUAUAGGAAGGAACACCAGUGGCGAAGGCGACCACCUGGACUGAUACUGACACUGAGGUGCGAAAGCGUGGGGAGCAAACAGGAUUAGAUACCCCUGUAGUCCCUGAGCGGGCUGGCAAGGCGCAU
rnacentral:rRNA from 1 species